GUUGGUUCAAAAGUAAUUGUGGAUUUUGCUAUUACUUUACUUUCAGUGGCAAAAACCACAAUUAAUUUUGCACCAACC
rnacentral:miRNA from 1 species